CCUGCAGUGACAGGGACAAAAGGCCAGGGCCAGUCAGCUGGAUCACCCAGUAGCCAGAGCACAACAAGCAUCAGGUGCUUCAUCGACCUGUCCCUGACAAAGGACCUGCCCACCAGUGGGGUACAGCUAAGCCAUAUGCAGCCACGAGAAUGUCCUACACUGGACAUUCCAACCCCUUGACAUUUUCAGGCGUCCAUUUUUUUCUCCAACAUCCCCUGUACACAGAGUAAGGCCCAAUCUCCUGGGAUAAAGCUGAUUGGAAAGUAUGUUGGAGGAAGCUGGCUCCUCAUGGACAUCAUAGAGCAGAAGCAUGAAAAGAAAAAAGUGAGCAAGCCAGUAUGCAGCACUCCUCCAUGGCCCCUGCAUCAGUUCCUGCCUCCAGAUUCCUGCUCUGCUGAGUUCCUGCCCGGGUUUCCCACGAAGAUGGCCAAGGAUUGGGAUGGACUGGAUGUGUGCCCAAAUAAACCUUUUCCUCCAAAAGUUAGUUUUGGUCAUGGUCUUAUCAUAGCAAGUGAAAGUUUAAUGCUUUCAAUUAAUUAAUUAAUUAAGUCACCUAAUUCUGAUUCCUUUCUCUUUCUGACCAUCUACAGCACAGAAUCUCCAAGAUGCAGUUAGGCCUCCAUCUUUCAAUAUCAUUACUCCGUAUUUGGCUGAGUAAGGAGGUAAGGCAAAAGUCAGACACAUGUUACACAGACCUGACAAAUGAGUCACCCACUCAGUGACUGCCCCAGAAUGACCUCUGUGCUGACUACUCACUUGAAGGGACUAAAAAGCCAGUGCCGGGACAAAUGCUCCAUGGAGUAGCCCUCAACCCAGUCAGCAUCCAGCUUUUUCACACCCGCAAUGAAAUACACAAUGAAGAUCUGCAAACAAAAAUGCAGCAUGAAUGUUUAUGCAAACAAAGAACCCGUCUUUCUGCAGGAAGGCUGCGAUUAAAGGCACUUGUUGCUCUAGCAGAGGACCGAGGUUUGGUUCCCAGCACCCACAUGAGGCAGCUCAGAACUUCCUGUAACUCCGGUUCCAGGGCACCUUUGUCUGGUCUCUGUAGGCACUGUAUGCACGUGAUAUACAUGUAGACAAGCAGACAUAUGCACACACACACUAAUAAUAAUAUUUUUUAAGAUUAGGUCUCACUAUAUAGUCCUGGCUAGCCUAUUUCCUGAGUACUGAGAUUAAAAGUGUGUGUAACCAUGCCUGGCUAUAUAAAUAAAUAAUUCUUAAAAACAAGGAAGAAUAGCUGGGCAGCAGUAGUGGCAUAAGUCUUUGAUCCUAGCAUUCGAGAGGCAGAGCAGGUGAAUCUUUGAGUCUGAGGCCAGCCUGGUCUACAGCGUGAGUUUCAGGACAUCCAGAGCUACAGAGAGAAAGCCUGUAUCAAAACAACAAACAAACAAACAUCACAAACCAAAGUAAGAAUGUAGGGAGGCAGAGGGCCUCUGACCACUGCUGACCAUAACAGCUCACAGGGAGCCCCUUCUCCAUUUUGAAAUCCUGUACCUUGGCUGGAAGGUGCACAGUGGGUAAAGCAUUCUCCACAAAUGCAUGAGGGCCCAAGGUUAAUUCUCAGGACCCAGGUAAAGUAAAGCAAAGUACUAUGUAUCUGUUCCUACAGCUCCUAAAGUGAGACAGACACAGGGGAGUCCCUAGAAUCUCAUAGGGCAGCCUCAAACCAAAAAUGUAGACUCUGUGCAUUUUGUAGACAAAAACGUAAAUCAAGGUGGAAGGUACACACGUAUGUGUACACACACACACACACACACACACACACACACACACACACACACUUCCAUACCUGGCCACGCAGGACUGUGUAGUUCCAAAGGGGCACGUGAGCAUUCUUCUUUUGGGCACUCAGCAGGCCAUCCACAGACCUAUAAAAAGGAGGUAAAAACAUCAAGAAAGGCCUCUUAGUCCAGCCACAUUCCUGCCCUACAGUUAGGGCAGUCCUGUCUACCUUGGAAAUAGCUCUCGUGCUCUCCCUGAUUCUCUAAGCUAUUCUGAGGCCCUCUUGAAACACAUGAGUAAAUUUUCCCAAGACGUUAUAUCGAGAAGGGAGUCUCUCAUAUCACAGAUUGCCCUCAAACUCACCAGGUAGCUGAAACUAGCCUUGAACUCCCGAUCUCCCUGCCUCGACUUCCCAAGAGCUAGACUUACAGGGGUGUGCACUGGAAUGAGUGCACGGCAACAGUGAUCACUAUUAAGGCCAUGAGAGAACUCUACUACAGAUGCUCUGUACCUUAUAAGGUAUUAUCCCAAUAAACCCAUUACAAGCUGAAAAUAGCCUUAAUUUAAAAUGUAUUUGAUAUACAUAACCUACUAAAUAUCACACAUGGCCUAUACACUAUGUUAAAUGCGCUCAGAGAAAAUUACAAUAGCCCACAGUUGGGCAAAAUCAUCCAGGACAAGGCCUACUUUCUAAUAAAGGGUUGACUAUUUUAGUGAAUACUAUGCCAACUAAGUAAGUAGAUAUGCUCUUGCCACUCUAGCUCUCAUCACUCUAGCUCUCACCACCUCUAGCUCUCACCACCAACCCUGAAGUUGAACCAUUAAGUCAGAGACUGUCUAUCGUAAGUCAUAAGAAUAAAAACUUCAGAGUUUGGAGCCAGUAUUAUCUAGAUGCAAUGAGAGCCUGACCCAAAACAAUGCACACAUACAGCGUUUUCUACUAGCUCACUCUUCAGUGGGUCCCAGUGAAUCAGAUCAAGUUCAGAGUUACACUAGAAGUGACACGAAGGAACAAAUUUCAGAGAGUUUGAAAAACCUACAGGGGUGGGCGGGAGAAAUGCCUCAGGUAGGCAAUCAGGUCAAUUCCUGAAGCCCACAAAAAGGUGGGUUAUCUUCUGACCUCUACGCAGGGACCACGGCAUGUACACCCUUGUUCCCCUGUAUCAUGUGCUCCCAACCCAACGCAGUAAUAACACAUUCAAUUAAAGAAGAAUGCACUGGGCGUGGUACACACACUCAGGAGGCAGAGCAAUCAGAUCCCCAUGAUAAUAAACUCAUGGCCAGCCUGGGCUACACAGCAAGUUCUAGGACUACAUAGUAAGACUGUGUCUUAAAAAAAAAGAUAUCAACAAUAAAAUCACAGACCAGGGGACUGGAGAGAUAGAUGCUGCUCUUUUACAGGACCUAGGUUCAAGUCCCAGCACUCACGAGGCAGCUCACAACUGCCUGUUAACUCCAGUUCCAGGAAACCCAGUGCCAUAUUCUGACCCCCACAGGCACCAGGCACACACAUACACACAGGUGAGCUAAAUAUACAUACACAUGAAAUAAAAUUAAAACACACACAUGAAGAUUCAUACACAUAUGCAUAUAUACAUGCAAAUAUACAUACACAGUGCAAUAUCUUUUUUAUUUUGAAUUGGCAUUUUAAGACAAGGUCUUACUUUAUCGUCUAGACUGGUCUGGAAGUUACCAUGUAACCCAAGCUACAUUCCUUAUGUCUCUGCCUGCGAGUAAAGGUGUGCACUAUCACAUUCAGCUAUACAGUAUAAGACAAUAAAAACAAAACAAAGAGGGUGGGGAUGGGGAAGCCGCCAGAGACUCUGAGCACUUGCCUAGCAUGUGUAGGGCCCCGAGUUUGAUCCCCACCUUCACAGGGGUAAAAAAUGAAAAAUAAACUUAAAUACUCCUCAGCAAAACAGUGCAGAGCACAAACUAACAUUUAUAAAAUUGGACGCCAGGAUCCAGUGCUAGAGGACUCUUGACUUUAAAUUUUAUCCUGAGAGAGAAUGGAGAAGACAGGCUACUAACACCAGAUUUCCUGAGGCAGAAACCAGGCAGGUUGUGAAAAAGUUAGGGAGAGUGUAGCUGCCACCGUGGUCAAAAGCAAGGACAACCAAGCCCCAUUUGUCUGCUCCCUGCUGUGUGAACAUAGCCAUAUUCUUUAUUUCCCCAGGACUCACUUCUUCAGCUCCAGGGAGCUCACAUAUAUUCGUUUUGAAUCGAGGUCUCAUUUUAUGUGAGACCCAGGCUGGCCACCUUGUGCAGGGAAUAAGCACCUAAACCUGACUCUUUACAGGGUUUUGAUGAGGAAAAAAGUGUAAAUACGCCUGCUAUAUACAAAGCCCUGAGUUUAAGGUAACUUUUCAAAAUGUCUGAAAGUCACAGAAAUGGAACUGGGAGGUGAGAGAUGCCUGACAAAGCAACCUCUUAAUUCUCUACGGUCAAAGUGAGAGAGCCUGAAUUGGUUUCAAGUUUGACGAAGGCAAGGACUGGGGACGGGGCAUGUAGCCUGGUAGUGGUGGACGUGCUCAGCACGCAGGAAGUCAGGAGCAAUCCCCAGCCCAGGUGCACACAUUCGGAGCUUUAUGGGAGAGACUUAUGUGCCUCAGUGGUGAACCACCUCCAUCUAGCUCACUGUGGCCCCAACACCCCAACUCACUCGACAGUGGGAACAAUGUCCUUAAGGUCUCGGGCCCCACCACCCUUGCUCCAAGUCUUGUCCCCACCUCCCCUGACAGAUGGUCACCUAGGCCAGAGAUGGAGUGGGUUACUUUCUCCUAGGACAGCACUGCAGAGCAACCCUGCUGGCCCCUGUCCUUUUGGUUUCUGCUAUCAUUUCCACCUCACAGCAACUUCUGUGUUUGGCUAUAAUUCUGCCUCUCUGGGCUCACACACAGAAAGUAAAGUCUGCACCCCUGGAGUAUCUGAAAACAGCUAUGUUUGGCUUUAGUCUUCUCAGGAGUGGAUCUAUCAGGGUACCUGGAGAGAUAGGAAAACAGUGAAGGUGUGGGAUGGACACUUUCCUAUGUCCCUGCAAUCUGCCAACUUGCUGGUCCGUCCCCUUCCCAAAUCCAUCCAAGGCAGGCAGCUGAGCAGGGAAGGGCGCUUACCAUCAAGCCUACUGGCGUGAACUGGACACCCCCCCCCAGAACCUAUAGGGAAGGAGAGAACAGGCUCCCCCAAAUCCAUCCAACCAUACUUUGCAAAACUUGGUUAAAAAUAUGUCUAUUGAGCCAGCAUGAUGGCUCACACCUGUAAUUCCAGCACUCGGGAGGCUAGUACAGAACGGCAAGUUCAAGGCCAGCCUAGACUACACAGUGAGUUCUAGACCAGCCUGAGAUACAGGAAUACAAAGCCCACCUCCUCCUUCCCCAAAAACCAAAACACCAAUAAAAAUUGUGCCCAUGGGACAAUUUCUAGGCCUUCCCUGGGCCCCAAUCUCUCUGUAAGCACCCUGACCAGACACACCUUCCCUCUCUUUCCCGAGGCUCUACGUACCAGUAGUGGUUUGCAUCCAUGAAUGUCAACUGAAAGGCCAACAAACCAUACAGAUAGGAGUGAUUGUUCCACGAUGUCUUGUCCAGGAGAAACACGUACCAGUAUGGUAGCAGGAAUAACACACAGCUUAGCCGGUACCACAGGCCCAGCAUCAUGCCCAGUGCCCCUGGGGAUUUGUGAGGACAGGGUUCAGGUCAAAGUGUCACCAUAGGCCCAGCUUCCCUGGGACUGAAAUUAAGAAAAGUCAGCAGGCCUUUUACAAUCAGGCAGAGAACUAAAUGGGAGAAGAGCUGUGGGGUUCGUAUGAUCCACGGGUGAGCAGCAGGAAACUGAAUCGCAGCAGACAUGAUACAGGCAUGCAACGGCUUGGCUCACUAGCAUGCUUCCCUGGCUCAGACUCCCAGCACCCAGCUCCCCUCACCCAGAAACAUGAUGGUGUAGACGAGAUACAUCCAGUCAAGUGGCAGUGGGCGCAAGGCAUCCAGCAAGGGGAAGCGGCACACAUCCAGCCCAUCCAAGUAUUUUCGGUCCAGGGAGCUAAGGCCCCGUUCCUGGGGGAUGUCCAGCAGCAUCAAGAAUGC